UGUUUUAGGAAUAAAUUUAGUUAAUUAAUAAUAUGAUUAUUACAAGAGAUGUAAUCUAGUUAGAUCUCUUAAGCGAAGGCAUUGUUUAAGAGUUGAAAUGAUUGUACUGCCCAUGAUACCACAUUGGUUAUCUCUUUGAUUGCACAUGGUAUUAGAAAGAAAAUUGAGAGGUCUACUAUAAACGAAAACAAAGUUGAAAAUAAAUUUGAUAAAAUUUUUGAAAAAUUUGUUCAAAGAGAUUUUUUAGGGUAAUUGAUGAAGGGCCUUUUUAUAGGGCUAAUUUAGUUUUAAUAACCUUAAGGGGAUUUUGGCGCUUUAAAUAGGUUCGUGUAGUUUUUUGCAACUGCCUUUUAGAAAAUCGAUAAUGGGCACGUUUUUAGGACUCAACACCAGUGCGGAACAUUAACAAAAUAUGAGGACAUAGUGUAAGCAAUAGGGAGUGAGAGAUGAUAAAUAUGAGUGCCAGCAAUCGCGGUUAGUCUUAUUUUCUCCAGCCAUUGAAUUAUCAUAUAAAAGUGAAAGUGGAAAAAAAAUUCUUAUCUGCGGUAGAGACGGUAAAAUGUAGCUACUAAGAAAAUUCUUGUAGAGAGUGUAAGUAAGAUUAUUUUUAAUAUAAAACCUUGUAAGGCUGCGUAGCUGAGACGGGGAUUUGUACCCCAGUAUUAACGCUCUUGAAUAAUGUGUGGGUACUACGAGCAAACGCGCUUAAAAACCAAAGAGGUUGGCGGUAUUCCAAAUCCGGUUAGGGGAACUUGGCGAUUAAAUCGAUGAACCUCGAACAUUUUACCCUUAGUAUACUUUGCAUACCGCCGUUGAGACAAGCUUUUGGGGGUCAAAGAACUUAAACGCAAAAUAUAAAAAGUUAUCUAAAGUAAGUUUGGUUACUGGUAAGUUAGGGUUUCUAUAGUAAUUCAGGUAAACGUGUAGGUUCUAAGGGGUUUAGCUGAGUUACAUUUUUAGUAAAUAGGCGGACAUAUAGGGUAAAACUAUAUUGAAGAUGUACUUGUUAGUAAAAUUUUUUAUAGAAGGAAUUUGAAUAGAGUUAUGGGAUGCGUACAAAUCGCCCGGCGCCCUCGAAUAGUCUAAAUUGAGGUAAGUCGUAACAUAGUAAUGCUAGUAGAAACUGGUGUUAAGCAAUAAUCAUGAAGACUAGUUGAAGAUUAGGAAUAGAAGUGUUAAUAGUAAAC
rnacentral:rRNA from 1 species